GGUAUCUCAUCCGGCCCCGUCGCCCUACCCCUUCGCAUCCUGCGGACUGCCUGUCUAACCUCGUCUACCUUAAAACGUCUACAAUAGCUAAAAUCCCGACACUCCCCUGAGUGCUCCAGUUCCCCUAACACAAUAGCUCUGUCCCCCUCGUCAUUCAAGAGACUAUGAAAGUACGACUGCCAUCUCUUCUUUAUGUGGCCGUCCUCCACCAACACUCUACCGUCCUCCCCCUUAAUGCACCGCACA
rnacentral:lncRNA from 1 species